ACCCCAAUAGCUAGCCCACCUAAAAACUACAACAAACAACAUCAAUAACCCCACAAUUAAUACACCCCUAUAACAAACCAUUUUUCCUCCUAAGUAUGGGAGACAGAAAAGGAAAUUCGGAGCAACAGAAAAAGUACCGCAAGGGAAAGCUGAAAGAGAACUGAAAUAACUCAGUGAAGGACAAAGCAGCAGAGAUUUACCCUC
rnacentral:rRNA from 1 species